rnacentral:lncRNA from 1 species
UGCAUCAGAAUCAUCUUCCUGAUUCACAUUGUCAUAAUUAUUCUCAGUAACCGUCUCAGAUUCGAUAUUCUGAUCUAGUCUAGAACCUGGAUAGUAGCCAUCAUCGGUUGAAAUGUGUCUGCCUCCAAAAGUCGAUCCAGUCUGUCGAGAUCAGUGAGGGGGUGUGUUCGGAGCUUUAAAGCAUCAGGUAUUUCCAAAAUUAAAAAUUUAUAUUAAUUUAUCAUACUUUUAAAAUAAAAACUGACGGGCUAUGAUAUUCAAAGAUUACAUGAAUACAAU